rnacentral:misc_RNA from 1 species
GCAAACUUGGUCAUUUAGAGGAAGUAAAAGUCGUAACAAGGUUUCCGUAGGUGAACCUGCGGAAGGAUCAUUACUGAGUGUUUGGGUCGGUCUUCUCGACUGCCCACUCUCCCAUCCUAUGUUUAAUACACCUUUUGUUGCUUCGGUCCAUCUGGGUUUUCGGACCCUGCCGGAGAAGUGUACGCUUCUCGGGAUCGUUAUGGAUCGAUAGCCAUUUCAAAACUCUUGAUUAACCAUGUUUGUCUGAGUCUUUAUAUUAAAUUAUAAAAAAAACUUUCAACAACGGAUCUCUUGGUUCUGGCAUCGAUGAAGAACGCAGC